AAUCAACGCUGGCGGCGUGCCUCAGACAUGCAAGUCGAACGAUUAAAGCUCUCUUCGGAGAGUGCAUAAAGUGGCGCACGGGUGAGUAACACGUAAGUAAUCUACCUUCGAGUGGGAAGUAACGUCCGGAAACGGACGCUAAUACCGCAUAACGCAGCGGCAUCGCAAGAUGACAGUUGUUAAAGAUUUAUUCGCUUGAAGAGGAGCUUGCGGCAGAUUAGCUUGUUGGUAAGGUAACGGCUUACCAAGGCUACGAUCUGUAACCGGUCUAAGAGGACGGUCGGUCACACUGACACUGAAUAACGGGUCAGACUCC
rnacentral:rRNA from 1 species